rnacentral:rRNA from 1 species
UGAGGGAAAGUUGCAAAGAACUUUGAAGAGAGAGUUCAAGAGUACGUGAAACUGUUCAGAGGCAAACGGGUGGGCCCUCGAAAUCCUCUUGCGGAGAGAUUCAGUCGGGAGCCGCGGAGGCGGUGGCGGGUAACGGACCCUCGAGAAGGACGGUCCCCGCCCCGCGGUCUCGGCGGCGCCCGACGCAUUUCUCCCCGCACUCUGGACGCCGCAACGGAUCGGGUAGCUGCGAGAGUCGGCCUUGGGGCCGUCCCAGGCAGGUGGCCGGAUCGUCGGGACCCGUCUCGGCGACCCGGUUAUUCACGGGGCGGUGCACGUGGCGCGACACCCGAUCGAGGUCGAGGUUCCCCUUACGGGGAACGAUCCGUCUCCGUCCUCGAGGCGCGGCGGGUUGGACAGUGAGCGCCGACGCUGCCGACCCACUCCUCGUAGUGGCCGGCGCGGCGGUUGCCGCCGUUGGUCCCGGUAUUGUGCCGCAGCGGGACGACGCGGGUUGCGGCGAGUAGGUCGGUCACCCACCCGACCCGUCUUGAAACACGGACCAAGGAGUCUAACAUGUGCGCGAGUCGCAGGGUCUUGAACAGGCCCGCGGGCGCAAUGAAAGUGACGGUGCCCCCUCGCGGGGAUUGCCGGGCUGGGACUCCCGCUCCCGGCGGGAAGCACCAGCGACCCGUCCCUUCCGAUCCGUCGGUGGGGCGGAGUCAGAGCGCACACGUUGGGACCCGAAAGAUGGUGAACUAUGCCUGGGCAGAACGAAGCCAGAGGAAACUCUGGUGGAGGUUCGCAGCGGUUCUGACGUGCAAAUCGAUCGUCAGACCAGGG